rnacentral:rRNA from 1 species
GCUNGNGUUUUUCAGCAAGANCGUGCCAGCAGCCGCGGUAAUACGGAGGGNUGCAAGCGUUAAUCGGAAUUACUGGGCGUAAAGCGCAUGCAGGCGGUCUGUUAAGUCNGAUGUGAAAGCCCCGGGCUUAACCUGGGAGUGGCAUUUGAGACUGGCAGGCUAGAGUCUUGUAGAGGGGGGUAGAAUUCCAGGUGUAGCGGUGAAAUGCGUANAGAUCUGGAGGAAUAUCGGUGGNGAAGGCGGCCCCCUGGACAAAGACUGACGCUCANAUGCGAAAGCGUGGGUAGCAAACAGGAUUAGAUACCCUGGUAGUCCACGCCGUANACGAUGUCUACUUGAAGGUUGGGAUCUUGAAUUCUGGCCUUCGGAGCUAACGCGUUAAGUAGACCGCCNGGGGAGUACGGUCGCAAGAUUAAAACUCA